UGACGAGCAACGCGUGUGAGGGAUGAAGGCUUUCGGGUCGUAAACCUCUGUCGGAAGGGAAGAACGGGCAUUGGUCUAAUAGGCCUUUGUUUUGACGGUACCUUUAGAGGAAGCACCGGCUAACUCCGUGCCAGCAGCCGCGGUAAUACGGAGGGUGCAAGCGUUAUUCGGAAUUACUGGGCGUAAAGCGCACGUAGGCGGCCUUGUAAGUCAGGGGUGAAAUCCCACGGCUCAACCGUGGAACUGCCUUUGAAACUGCAGGGCUUGAAUCCUGGAGAGGGUGGCGGAAUUCCUGGUGUAGGAGUGAAAUCCGUAGAUAUCAGGAGGAACACCGGUGGCGAAGGCGGCCACCUGGACAGGUAUUGACGCUGAGGUGCGAAAGUGUGGGGAGCAAACAGGAUUAGAUACCCUGGUAGUCCACACCGUAAACGAUGGAUACUAGGUGUCGGGGACUUGAUCUUCGGUGCCGUAGCUAACGCGUUAAGUAUCCCGCCUGGGGAGUACGG
rnacentral:rRNA from 1 species